rnacentral:rRNA from 1 species
CGAGCGAAGCACUUAUCAUUGAUUCUUCGGAAGAUUUGAUAUUUGACUGAGCGGCGGACGGGUGAGUAACGCGUGGGUAACCUGCCUCAUACAGGGGAAUAACAGUUAGAAAUGGCUGCUAAUGCCGCAUAAGCGCACAGGACCGCAUGGUCCGGUGUGAAAAACUGAGGUGGUAUGAGAUGGACCCGCGUCUGAUUAGGUAGUUGGUGGGGUAACGGCCUACCAAGCCGACGAUCAGUAGCCGGCCUGAGAGGGUGAACGGCCACAUUGGGACUGAGACACGGCCCAGACUCCUACGGGAGGCAGCAGUGGGGAAUAUUGCACAAUGGGGGAAACCCUGAUGCAGCGACGCCGCGUGAAGGAAGAAGUAUCUCGGUAUGUAAACUUCUAUCAGCAGGGAAGAAAAUGACGGUACCUGACUAAGAAGCCCCGGCUAACUACGUGCCAGCAGCCGCGGUAAUACGUAGGGGGCAAGCGUUAUCCGGAUUUACUGGGCGUAAAGGGAGCGUAGACGGAAGAGCAAGUCUGAUGUGAAAGGCUGGGGCUUAACCCCAGGACUGCAUUGGAAACUGUUUUUCUAGAGUGCCGGAGAGGUAAGCGGAAUUCCUAGUGUAGCGGUGAAAUGCGUAGAUAUUAGGAGGAACACCAGUGGGCGAAGGCGGCUUACUGGACGGUAACUGACGUUGAGGCUCGAAAGCGUGGGGA